AUGAAGGCUCCAGACAAGUUUGUACGCUUGUGGAACAAAAGCUAUGAUGACUGCAAAGUGGAGUGCAGCAAAAAUUGCUCAUGUGUAGCAUAUGCUUAUGCUAAUCUAAGCACCAGCAACAUUGAUGGGGAUGCAACAAGGUGCCUGUUGUGGACCGGGGAUCUGAUUGAUGUGGAGAAGGGUGGCACCAUCGGCAAUGAGAACCUGUAUCUGCGGCUUGCUACCUUGUCAAGGAAAGGGCGAAAGAACAUCGUGAUAGAAGUUAUACCAGCAAUUUCAGCAAGUGUGUUGCUGAUACUUCUAUUGGCGUGCCUUGUAUGGUUCUGCAAGUUUAAAGGACAAGGCGGCUUUGGUAAAGUUUACAAGGGGCUCUUACAUGGCAACAAAGAAGUUGCUGUUAAAAGGCUCGGUAGAGGUUCUGGACAGGGAGCAAUAGAGUUUAGGAAUGAAGUAGUCGUGAUUGCUAAACUGCAACACAAAAACCUUGUAAGGCUUGUCUGUUAUUGUGUGCAGGGCGAUGAAAAGCUACUUAUUUAUGAGUAUCUACCAAACAGAAGCCUGGACACCUUCCUUUUCAAUUCUGAAAAGAAGCCAAUGCUUCAUUGGCCAACACGAUUCAGUAUAAUAAAAGGAGUGGCUAGAGGGCUACUCUAUCUCCAUCGAGACUCAAGGCUGAUGAUAAUUCAUAGGGAUCUGAAAACAAGCAACAUUUUGCUAGAUGGAGAUAUGAAUCCCAAGAUAUCUGAUUUUGGCAUGGCAAGAAUCUUUGGUGGAGAUGAGCAACAAGCGAACACUAACCGAGUUGUCGGAACAUACGGUUAUAUGUCUCCGGAAUAUGCAAUGGAAGGCCUCUUUUCUGUCAAGUCCGAUGUCUAUAGCUUUGGGGUCUUGCUCUUGGAAACUGUAAGUGGGAUAAGGAUUAGCUCAACCGAGAACAUCAAGGAGUUCCCCAACCUUAUAAUAUAUGCAUGGAGUCUAUGGAGGGAAGGGCUAGCAAUGGAUUUGGUGGAUCCAUCAGUUUCAGAGAGCUGCUCGAAUGAAGAGGCUUUAUGUUGCAUUCAUGUUGGGCUCUUGUGUGUUCAGGAUGAUCCGGAUGCCAGACCACUCAUGUCAACUGUUGUAUCAACGUUGGAGAGUAGAAGCACACCAGUUGCAACGCCUGAUAAGCCACUGUAUUUUUCUCAGAGGAAUAAGGUAGCAAAGAGAGCAGACUACGGUCAGGACUCUGUGGAUAUGGAAGCCCUUACAGUACUGGAGGGGCGAUAG
rnacentral:rRNA from 1 species